rnacentral:rRNA from 1 species
CGGACGAACGCUGGCGGCGUGCCUAACACAUGCAAGUCGUACGGAGUUCACUUGGAAGCUUGCUUCCGAGUGAACUUAGUGGCGGACGGGUGAGUAACGCGUGAGCAACCUGCCUCACAGAGGGGGAUAACACACGGAAACGUGUGCUAAUACCGCAUAAUCCGAUGAAGCGGCAUCGCUUUAUCGGCAAAGGAGCAAUCCGCUGAUUGAGGGGCUCGCGUCCCAUUAGAUAGUAGGUGAGGUAACGGCUCACCUAGUCUGCGAUGGGUAGCCGAGCUGAGAGGCUGAACGGCCACACUGGAACUGAGACACGGUCCAGACUCCUACGGGAGGCAGCAGUGGGGAAUAUUGGGCAAUGGGCGAAAGCCUGACCCAGCAACGCCGCGUGAGGGAAGAAGGUCUUCGGGUUGUAAACCUCUUUCAGCAGGGACGAAGGGUGACUGACGGUACCUGUAGAAGAAGCACCGGCCAACUACGUG